UUCACGUCGCGCGCAUCUGGCUUCUCUCCGCGCCGCCGCCUUCUUCCCGCGCGCACGAAGAGGAAUCCGUCGCCUUCCCGCGCUCCGCGAAGCCCAAUUGCCGUGUAGCGGACAGGAUCAGCGACGCCGCCGGCUGCUAGGGUUCAGUUUUGCUCCAAUGGAAGGAGGUGGAUAUUUUACAAACCUGGUGACGGGAGAUUAUGUUGAUGUUCCUAGUUUGGAAGACUUGACCUUUCCUACAGUGGAGACUCAAGAAAUUAAUGACAUGGCUUGUGAAGCGCAACUAGUUGAUGAGCAAGUGCAGCCACAACAAGGUGCCGGACGUCGUACCAGUACAAAAGGUUCGUCUAAGAGGACCAAAAAUUUUGAUGACGAUGAGGAUAUAGCUGUAUGCUCAGCUUGGUUGAACGUUAGCAAAGAUCCUAUUCAUGGAGCUAAUCAAACCCGUUCGUCAUUUUGGGGUAGAAUUCGAGCUUACUUUGAGGAACACAAGACAACUCCAGCUUCUAGGUCAGAGAGUUCGAUUAUGCAUAGGUGGCUGACUAUUCAGAAGGAAGUGAAUAAGUUUUGUGCAUGCUACGAGAAGGUUGAGCAAAGGAAUCAAAGUGGAGCAACUAUUCAAGAUAUGAUUUCUCAAGCACUGGAAGGUGUACAAGGGAUUAGACGAAGACAAGAAGUCAUUUACUCUUUUACCAUGUUGGAAUAAGUUGAAUAAAGAAGACAAGUGGCAGGCCAAGAGGAAGGAACUAGCUGAGCAGCACAAACAAACCAGUAAGAAAAAACAGAAGGUUAACAUAGACUCCACGCCCAGGACUGUAGCUGCCAUCAAUGCUGAAGAUGUCACAGGGAUUGCAGUACCACAUUCCGAAGCAAGAAUGAGGCCACAAGGUCAGAAGAUAGCAAAAGAAGCUCUGAAGCGAGGCGGAACCGAAGCUUGCAUGGAGGCAUUGGACAAGUUGUAGAGUAAAAAGGAGGCUUUUGAUUUAGAGAGAGAGAAGAAGAAAGGGGAGAGGUUCCUAGUUUCACUUGAGCUAGAGAAGAAGCGAUUUUCAAUAGAAGAAAAAAGAGCUGAAUCUGACUUAAUCAAAGAGGAAAAAGAAAUAAUGCAAAUGGACAUGACCUCUCUCACCCCGCUGCAGCGACAAUAAUACUACGAAACGAUGCAGCAAAAUAUCAUCGCUCGACGUUUGGCAAAUUAGAUUUGAUUAAUUUUUUAUGUUUCAGAGAACAAUGUAUUUAUGUUUGGUGUGCUUCACAGAACGUUUUCAUAUUAAGUCAUUUACGUUUCA